rnacentral:snRNA from 1 species
AGAUUUGAGGGCAAUCUGGCUGUGACAUUGAUUGCCAGGGUUGAUUUGGCUGAUCUGGCUGGCUAGGCGGAUGACCCCUUCCUCCCUCACCACUCCAUAUGCGUCCCUCCCUGUGUGCUCGUUCAAAGAGGAAAGUCUUCCCAGGAUAGAGAUGGACCAGUCUUUGGUCGAGUAUAUAUGAGUAGCUGUGUUCCCCUGCUAGAACCUCCAAACAAGCUCUCAAGGUACUUCUUAUUCUUUUUUAACAGUAUUUUAUUUAUUUCUUAUUGAAUAGAGACAGAGAGAAAUUGAGAGAG